rnacentral:misc_RNA from 1 species
CUCGAACAAAACUUUCUAUAACUUUCUUAAGAGUGUGUCAGGUAAGGGUCAAGUAAAAUGAAUCGGAGCAAGUAACUCAGUCAAUUGAGGCAGAAAAAUUUAUUGAGGAAUAUGAUCAUAGUGAAAAAUGAAAAUUGUAAGGCAGAAAACGCAUAACCUCAUAUGCAGCAAGUAUUUCAAUGAAUCGCUUGGAAGUAGAGGAAUUAUGCGUGGAAUGAG